rnacentral:rRNA from 1 species
GGGACGAACGCUGGCGGUGUGCUUCACACAUGCAAGUCGAACGGGGUAGCAAUACCCAGUGGCGGACGGGUGAGUAACGCGUAGAAAUCUUCCUUGAGAUGGGGGAUAACAGUCCGAAAGGAUUGCUAAUACCGCAUAUGUAUAUAUCCGGACACGGGUGUAUAUGAAAGGAGUAAUCCGUCUUAAGAUGAGUCUGCGUCCGAUUAGCUAGUUGGUAGGGUAAAGGCCUACCAAGGCGACGAUCGGUAGCUGGUCUGAGAGGAUGAUCAGCCACAAUGGGACUGAGACACGGCCCAUACUCCUACGGGAGGCAGCAGUGGGGAAUUUUGUGCAAUGGGGGAAACCCUGACACAGCGACACCGCGUGAGCGAAGAAGCCCUUGGGGUGUAAAGCUCUGUCGGCUGGAACGAAAAAAUGACGGUACCAGCAAAGGAAGCAUCGGCUAACUACGUGCCAGCAGCCGC